AUACGAAGGGGGCUAGCGUUGUUCGGAAUAACUGGGCGUAAAGCGCACGUAGGCGGAAUGUUAAGUUAGAGGUGAAAUCCCAGGGCUCAACCCUGGAACUGCCUUUAAUACUGGCAAUCUAGAGAUCGAGAGAGGUGAGUGGAAUUCCGAGUGUAGAGGUGAAAUUCGUAGAUAUUCGGAGGAACACCAGUGGCGAAGGCGGCUCACUGGCUCGAUACUGACGCUGAGGUGCGAAAGCGUGGGGAGCAAACAGGAUUAGAAACCCCUGUAGUCC
rnacentral:rRNA from 1 species